rnacentral:rRNA from 1 species
CCUACGGGUGGCAGCAGUGAGGAAUAUUGGUCAAUGGGCUUACGCCUGAACCAGCCAAGUCGCGUGAGGGAAGACUGCCCUAUGGGUUGUAAACCUCUUUUGUGAGGGAGUAAAGCUGUCCACGUGUAGCUGGAUUGAGAUUACCCGUGGAAAAAGCACCGGUUAAUCCCGUGCCAGCGGCCGCGGUAAUACGGAGGAUGCGAGGGUAUCCGGUAUUUUUGGGUUUAAAGGGGUGCGUAGGCGGAAUGCAAAGGUACCGGUAAAUUUGGGGGGUUCAACCUGGCUCCGCGGUUGGAACUGGCGUUCUUGAGUGCGCGGAAGGUAUGCGGAAUUCGUGGUGUAGCGGUGAAAUGCAUAGAUAUCACGAAGAACUCCGAUUGCGAAGGCAGCAUGCCGGAGCCCUACUGACGCUGAAGCUCGAAAGCGUGGGUAUCGAACAGGAUUAGAUACCCUUGUAGUC